rnacentral:rRNA from 1 species
AACGAACGUUGGCGGCGUGGAUGAGGCAUGCAAGUCGAACGCGAAAGCCGCAAGGCGAGUAAAGUGGCGGACGGGCGAGUAACACGUAAUCAAGCUACCUGCGAGACGGGGAUAACUUCGGGAAACCGAAGCUAAGACCCGAUGGUCUUCUAGGAACGCAUGUUCCAUGAAGUAAAUGGGCGGGAUCCUCCGGGAUCGCCUGCUCGCAGAGGUGAUUGCGGCCCAUCAGCUAGUUGGUAGGGUAAUGGCCUACCAAGGCAACGACGGGUAGCCGGCCUUAGAGGGUGGUCGGCCGCACUGGGACUGAGACACUGCCCAGACUCCUACGGGAGGCUGCAGUCGAGAAUCUUCCGCAAUGGGCGAAAGCCUGACGGAGCGACGCCGCGUGGAGGAUGAAGGCC